UACGGGGGGGGCAAGCGUUGUUCGGAAUUACUGGGCGUAAAGGGCUCGUAGGCGGCCAACUAAGUCGGAUGUGAAAUCCCCAGGCUUAACUUGGGAACUGCAUCCGAUACUGGAUGGCUUGAAUCCGGGAGAGGGAUGCGGAAUUCCAGGUGUAGCGGUGAAAUUCGUAGAUAUUCGGAAGAACACCAGUGGCGAAGGCGGCUCACUGGUCCGGUACUGACGCUGAGGUGCGAAAGCGUGGGGAGCAAACAGG
rnacentral:rRNA from 1 species